CUGGAAGAAUAAGGAUCGGCUAACUCCGUGCCAGCAGCCGCGGUAAUACGGAGGAUCCGAGCGUUAUCCGGGAUUUAUUGGGUUUAAAGGGUGCGUAGGCGGCCUAUUAAGUCAGGGGUGAAAUACGGUGGCUCAACCAUCGCAGUGCCUUUUGAUACUGAUGGGCUUGAAUCCAUUUGAAGUGGGCGGAAUAAGACAAGUAGCGGUGAAAUGCAUAGAUAUGUCUUAGAACUCCGAUUGCGAAGGCAGCUCACUAAGCUGGUAUUGACGCUGAUGCACGAAAGCGUGGGGAUCGAACAGGAUUAGAUACCCUGGUAGUCCACGCCCUAAACGAUGAUAACUCGAUGUUGGCGAUAGACAGCCAGCGUCCCAGCGAAAGCGUUAAGUUAUCCACCUGGGGAGUACGCCCGCAAGGGUGAAACUCAAAGGAAUUGACGGGGGCCCGCACAAGCGGAGGAGCAUGUGGUUUAAUUCGAUGAUACGCGAGGAACCUUACCCGGGCUUGAAAGUUAGUGAAGGGUGCAGAGACGCACCCGUCCUUCGGGACACGAAACUAGGUGCUGCAUGGCUGUCGUCAGCUCGUGCCGUGAGGUGUUGGGUUAAGUCCCGCAACGAGCGCAACCCCUAUGUUUAGUUGCCAGCAUUUAAGGUGGGGACUCUAAACAGACUGCCUGUGCAAACAGUGAGGAAGGUGGGGACGACGUCAAGUCAUCAUGGCCCUUACGUCCGGGGCUACACACGUGCUACAAUGGAUGGUACAGCGGGCAGCUACAUAGCAAUAUGAUGCUAAUCUCUAAAAGCCAUUCACAGUUCGGAUUGGGGUCUGCAACUCGACCCCAUGAAGUUGGAUUCGCUAGUAAUCGCGUAUCAGCAAUGACGCGGUGAAUACGUUCCCGGGCCUUGUACACACCGCCCGUCAAGCCAUGAAAGUUGGGGGUACCUAAAGCAUGUUACCGCGAGGAGCGUGUCAGGGUAGGCCCCAGUU
rnacentral:rRNA from 1 species